CCUACGGGAGGCAGCAGUCGAGAAUCAUUCAGAAUGGGGGAAACCCUGAUGGUGCGACGCCGCGUGGGGGAAUGAAGGUCUUCGGAUUGUAAACCCCUGUCAUGUGGGAGCAAAUUAAAAAGAUAGUACCACACGAGGAAGAGACGGCUAACUCUGUGCCAGCAGCCGCGGUAAUACAGAGGUCUCAAGCGUUGUUCGGAAUCACUGGGCGUAAAGCGUGCGUAGGCUGUUUCGUAAGUCGUGUGUGAAAGGCGCGGGCUCAACCCGCGGACGGCACAUGAUACUGCGAGACUAGAGUAAUGGAGGGGGAACCGGAAUUCUCGGUGUAGCAGUGAAAUGCGUAGAUAUCGAGAGGAACACUCGUGGCGAAGGCGGGUUCCUGGACAUUAACUGACGCUGAGGCACGAAGGCCAGGGGAGCGAAAGGGAUUAGAUACCCCUGUAGUC
rnacentral:rRNA from 1 species